rnacentral:rRNA from 60 species
CCGGUGAAGUGUUCGGAUUGCGGCGACGUGGGCGGUUCGCUGCCCGCGACGUUGUGAGAAGUCCACUGAACCUUAUCAUUUAGAGGAAGGAGAAGUCGUAACAAGGUUUCCGUAGGUGAACCUGCGGAAGGAUCAUUG